GGCCGUUUACUUUAAUGGUAAACUACUCAGCCGGUACCUGACGGGUACGGGUUCGAGUCCCGUAGCCGUCU
rnacentral:tRNA from 1 species